rnacentral:rRNA from 1 species
UACGUAGGUGACAAGCGUUGUCCGGAUUUACUGGGCGUAAAGAGCGCGCAGGCGGUCGUUCAAGUCGAGUGUGAAAGCCCCCCGGCUCAACUGGGGAGGGUCACUCGAUACUGAUCGACUCGAAGGCAGGAGAGGGAUGCAGAAUUCCAGGUGUAGCGGUGAAAUGCGUAGAUAUCUGGAGGAAUACCGGUGGCGAAGGCGGCAUCCUGGACCGGCAUUGACGCUGAGGAGCGAAAGCCAGGGGAGCAAAGCGGG